UACGAAGGGAGCUAGCGUUGUUCGGAAUCACUGGGCGUAAAGCGCACGUAGGCGGAUUGGAAAGUUGGGGGUGAAAUCCCAGGGCUCAACCCUGGAACUGCCUUCAAAACUCCCAGUCUGGAGGUCGAGAGAGGUGAGUGGAAUUCCGAGUGUAGAGGUGAAAUUCGUAGAUAUUCGGAGGAACACCAGUGGCGAAGGCGGCUCACUGGCUCGAUACUGACGCUGAGGUGCGAAAGCGUGGGGAGCAAACAGG
rnacentral:rRNA from 1 species